rnacentral:miRNA from 1 species
UUCCUUCUGGUCAAUGAGGUAUAACAUCCUCAUUGAUUGGAAGGAAUUCCUUCUGAUCAAUGAGGUUGUUACCCACAUCGACUUCCAAUCAAUGAGAUUUGUUGUUAUACCUCAUCAACCGGAAGGAAUCCCUUCCGGCCAAUGAGGCUUUUCUUUCUCAUAGACCAGAAGGAA